rnacentral:rRNA from 1 species
AGUGAACGCUGGCGGUAGGCCUAACACAUGCAAGUCGAACGGCAGCACAGUAAGAGCUUGCUCUUACGGGUGGCGAGUGGCGGACGGGUGAGGAAUACAUCGGAAUCUACUUUUUCGUGGGGGAUAACGUAGGGAAACUCACGCUAAUACCGCAUACGACCUACGGGUGAAAGCAGGGGAUCUUCGGACCUUGCGCGAUUGAAUGAGCCGAUGUCGGAUUAGCUAGUUGGCGGGGUAAAGGCCCACCAAGGCGACGAUCCGUAGCUGGUCUGAGAGGAUGAUCAGCCACACUGGAACUGAGACACGGUCCAGACUCCUACGGGAGGCAGCAGUGGGGAAUAUUGGACAAUGGGCGCAAGCCUGAUCCAGCCAUACCGCGUGGGUGAAGAAGGCCUUCGGGUUGUAAAGCCCUUUUGUUGGGAAAGAAAAGCAGCAGGUUAAUACCCCGCUGUUCUGACGGUACCCAAAGAAUAAGCACCGGCCAACUUCGUG